rnacentral:rRNA from 1 species
GACGAACGCUGGCGGCGUGCCUAAUACAUGCAAGUAGGACGCAGUUGCGAACGGGUGAGUAACGCGUAGGUAACUACCUAUUAGAGGGGGAUAACUAUUGGAAACGAUAGCGAAUACCGCAUACUAGUAGAUGGACCUGAGUUGUAUUUGCUAGUAGGUAGGGUAAUGGCCUACCUCGGCAACGAUACAUAGCAGACCGGUGAGGGAGAUCGGCCACACAGGGACGGUGACACGGCCCCGAAUCCCACGGGAGGGCGCCGUAGGGAAUAUUGGGCAAUGGGGGGAACUCUGACCGAGCAACUGCGGGGUGGUGAAUAAGGGUUUUGGAUCGUUAAGCUCUGUUGUUAAGGAAGCGUUACUUAACCAGAAAGGAAAGGCUAACUACGUGCCAGCAGCCGCGGUAAUAC